UGACAGCUCAGAAGCCUGAAGUCUGCUUCAGAUUCUGUGUCUCCCUAUCUCUCUGCCCUCCCCCACUCACAGUCUGUCUCUGUCUCUCAAAAAUGAAUAAACAUUAUAAUAAAAUAAUGAAAUAAUCCACCCAGAGCCCAGCCACUACGGUGGUGUCUUUUCCACCUACUAUCCCUACUUUCGUCCUCAUGGUUUGAAGCUCCUUGCUUCCUAGGAGCAGAACUGGUAGGAAAGAUAGUGACUACUGAGUCACAAAGAGGUGGUGUCAGGGUGGAGGAGAAGGAGAUGAAAGGAAAGAGGGAGGUCUUGAAGUGGGAAACGGCUGUGAAGGAGAGGGGCUGCAGCUAAAGUCCUGGUUUUGUGGGGAAGUUCUAUGAAUCUCUAGUGAGAGAGAUUCAGCUGCAAAAUGUAUGGGGGCACAUUACAGGGAUGGAACACUAUCCAAAACUUAGCAUCCUUUGGACUCAGCAGAGGUUAAAAAAAUUAUGAAACGCUCUUAGAGGUUCGUGUGUGUGUGUGUGUGUGUGUGUGUGUGUGUGUGUGUGUUGGCCUCGUUUAAGGAGGGAAGAGCAACAAGUGCCUGAAUCUCCCCCCCACCCCCAAGGAAGCUGGGAAGUGAGCAGAGCCCAAUGGAUGGAACGAACAGCUGAUCAGUUUCUCUUUUCUUUGUAAAUGAUUGUCCUCCUCUCUCCUUCAAGACCAGAGUUUCAUAUACAGUCACUCAGUGGCUGUCCUGUGAAGGAUUAGUGUCUCUCUAGAAAGACAUUGUACCUGAGUUGUUACACUCAUAGCCUUGGGGUCAGACAGAGCUCAGCUUGGUUCUCUUCUCCAGCACACACUACUAAUGUGACCUGUAUUACUGCCGUGACCUCCAGCAUGUUAUUUCUCCUCACACGUAGUAAGCUCUCCUCACACGUGGACAAUGGUGAUGCAGACUCCUAUUAUUUUUGCUGAGUUUACUCGUGUGGGAUUUUGGGAACUUGGGUCUGAGGGUCAAGUUUUUUUCUUUGAAAAAACAAAAAACUUACUGAAAUAGAGACUUAAAUAUUCAGGAUAAGAGCCCCAGCUUUGCUAUUGCUUGAGUAAGAGCGCAAGAGUCACCUCACUGGGCUGUGCUUUGCUCUCUGUAACUGCACGGUGUGUCUGUGUGUGGGGGAGGGGGGCGGGUAGGCGUAUCAAAACAAGUGAUGCUCCCCCAUCUCUCAGGAUUGUAUUAGAACCUGGGUGGGCUGUAGCUUUGUUAAUUCUUGCUGGGAAUAAUGGGUGGGAUAGUGUGUCAGAGGACAGGGUCUGGAGGGGGGGAAAGAGAGGAGAAGAGACGUUUCCAACCACCAGGUGUUGCGAGUAACAUCACCUCCGUUUCUCCACUCCUUAGGUGGUUCAGGGCAAGAGGUGAGGCAGCACGUGCUGCCAUAACAUCUCAGCCUCCAUGUGAGGGACAUCUCUCCCAGCCUCUGUGUUUUUCUUCAGGACCUGAGACCUGCCACACCGUUCUGUGAUGAAAGUUGAGAUGGCAGAUCCCGUUGUCAAGCUGCUUGGAUGGUGCUGCACUCAGAACGAUCCUAGGCACAAGAUGAACCAACCUGUCAGAGGUUAAAACUGGCCCUCCUAUCUGAUUCCCUGUAUUUAUGGCAUCUACAUUUACUUGAGCUCCUGACUUCUACACGGAAGGAGGAGGGAAUGAGUCCUCUUGAAAAUUCUUUGCCAGCUGUGAAUGUGAUGUGUCUGCGAAAGAGAACUUAAUCAAUAUUCAAGAACAACAGGAGGCAAGGUUGUGUUUCAUUAAACGACUGACCAUGGAAAACAGUGGAGGGAUGAAGCAGCAAUCUAGAAAUAGGGAGUCCAGGAAUGAUCCUGAUGAGCAAGACCUGCAUCUUCAAAGAGGCACCCAGGUGACUUAGAAAUUAAACGUGGUGUAGUUUGGGGUACAUUUCUUCCUUCCUGAGGCAACCCAGGAACCUGGUGGCUGCAAGCCAUUGCAGGCUGGCAGAGGUCUGAACUCCUGUGAAAAUCUGAUCGUGUCUGGGUGAGGAGCCCUUCUCCCAAGCUCCUGUAGCAGCUUAUGUGUUUCCCGUGAACCCACCAUACCUCUUUCCUACCACACCAUGAUCGCCCAUUUACUCAUUUCUAGAAUCUUCCUGAUUACAAAGGAGGCUCUGGGAUGUCAGGGACUGUAUCUGCCCAGAUCACCAUUUUAUUUCCCUUGCUUAGCUCAUUGCCUGGAAGAUAAUAGGUAUUCAAUAUUUACUGAAUAAAUAAAUGAAAAUCAUAAAGCUUU